rnacentral:rRNA from 1 species
UACGAAGGGGGCUAGCGUUGCUCGGAAUCACUGGGCGUAAAGCGCACGUAGGCGGCUUUCUAAGUCAGGGGUGAAAUCCUGGAGCUCAACUCCAGAACUGCCUUUGAUACUGGGGAGCUCGAGUCCGGAAGAGGUGAGUGGAACUCCGAGUGUAGAGGUGAAAUUCGUAGAUAUUCGGAAGAACACCAGUGGCGAAGGCGGCUCACUGGUCCGGUACUGACGCUGAGACGCGAAAGCGUGGGGAGCGAACAGG